CCUACGGGAUGCAGCAGUGAGGAAUAUUGGACAAUGGGCGCGAGCCUGAACCAGCCAAGUAGCGUGAAGGAUGAAUGCCCUACGGGUUGUAAACUUCUUUUAUAAAGGAGUAAAGUGAGGCACGUGUGCCUGUUUGUAUGUACUUUAUGAAUAAGGAUCGGCUAAUUCCGUGCCAGCAGCCGCGGUAAUACGGAGGAUCCGAGCGUUAUCCGGAUUUAUGGGGUUUAAAGGGAGAGUAGAUGGGUUGUUAAGUCAGUUGUGAAAGGUUGCGGCUCAACCGUAAAAUUGCAAUUGAAACUGGCAGUCUUGAGUACAGUUGAGGUAGGCGGAAUUCGUGGUGUAGCGGUGAAAUGCUUAGAUAUCACGAAGAACUCCGAUUGCGAAGGCAGCUUACUAAACUGCCACUGACAUUGAUGCUCGAAAGUGUGGGUAUCAAACAGGAUUAGAUACCCCAGUAGUC
rnacentral:rRNA from 1 species